rnacentral:rRNA from 1 species
GCUGAACGCUAGCGGCAGGCUUAAUACAUGCAAGUCGAGGGGCAGCACAGGUAGCAAUACUGGGUGGCGACCGGCAAACGGGUGCGGAACACGUACACAACUUACCUUAGAGUUGGGGAUAGCCCAGGGAAACUUGGAUUAAUACCCCAUAAAACAGGGGGCCCGCAUGGGCAUAUUGUUAAAGAUUUAUCGCUUUAAGAUGGGUGUGCGUAUGAUUAGGUAGUUGGUAGAGUAAAGGCCUACCAAGCCGACGAUCAUUAACUGGUGUGAGGGCACGACUAGUCACACGGGCACUGAGACACGGGCCCGACUCCUACGGGAGGCAGCAGUAAGGAAUAUUGGUCAAUGGACGGAAGUCUGAACCAGCCAUGCCGCGUGAAGGAUGAAGGUCCUCUGGAUUGUAAACUUCUUUUAUAGGGGGCGAAAAAGGGCAAUUCUUGGUCAACUGACGGUACCCUAUGAAUAAGCACCGGCUAACUCCGUGCCAGCCGCCGCCGUAACAC